AUUGAACGCUGGCGGCAUGCCUUACACAUGCAAGUCGAACGGCAGCACGGGGGCAGCCCUGGUGGCGAGUGGCGAACGGGUGAGUAAUGCAUCGGAACGUGCCCAGUAGUGGGGGAUAACCAGUCGAAAGACUGGCUAAUACCGCAUACGACCUACGGGUGAAAGCGGGGGACCGUAAGGCCUCGCGCUAUUGGAGCGGCCGAUGGCGGAUUAGCUAGUUGGCGGGGUAAGAGCCCACCAAGGCGACGAUCAGUAGCUGGUCGGAGAGGACGACCAGCGACACUGGGAGUGAGACACGGCCCAGACUCCUACGGGAGGCAGCAGUGUGGAAUUUUGGACAAUGGGCGCAAGCCUGAUCCAGCCAUGCCGCGUGCGGGAAGAAGGCCUUCGGGUUGUAAACCGCUUUUGGCAGGAACGAAACGGCGCAAGCCAAUAACUUGCGCUAAUGACGGUACCUGCAGAAUAAGCACCGGCUAACUACGUGCCAGCCGCCGCGGUAAUAC
rnacentral:rRNA from 1 species